rnacentral:lncRNA from 1 species
UCAAUUAUACAUGACAUCAAAUUACAUGAUUCUAGUAAACACUACUAAUUAAACUAUAUAUCCUUUAAGAUACAAAAUAACUAAAUGAACAUAGAACUUUAAACAUCAUUUUUCAUUCAUGCUUCGAAUUUCAGCUACAUUGAACCAGUGUAUCGAAUAUGCGUACCUAGUAUUUGGAAAACAAAUAAGAGAGGAAGAUCAGUGAUGAAUAGAGCAGUAGCACAGCAACAACAGCAGUAUACCAACAACAAUAGCAAUGAACCAAUGACAGUAGAUAACCCAGGAAGGAUUUAAAAUAAAAAAGGACCCUUAAGGAAAUCGAAUGCAAUUUCCAGAAAAUCCAAAACAGCAACCUUAAGUAUAGGACAAUUAUCCCAAAACCAAAAGCAACUCAACAACAAUAGAUCAGGGAUGCCAAAGCUCAGAACCAAAUUUGAAAACCCAAACGACCAACUUGGGAAGAAACCAAAUGAAGACCCAUCAAUAACCUAGAACAAUAAACUUUGAUUUCUAUUUAUUCAAACUCUCAAGGACUGAACCUAAUUGGAAAAUUUGGCAUGUAUUUCACUCAAACUCUCUGAACUUCCUAUGUUAAAAAUA